rnacentral:rRNA from 1 species
UACGGGGGGGGGCAAGCGUUGUUCGGAAUUACUGGGCGUAAAGGGCUCGUAGGCGGCCAACUAAGUCAGACGUGAAAUCCCUCGGCUUAACCGGGGAACUGCCUCUGAUACUGGAUGGCUUGAGGUUGGGAGAGGGAUGCGGAAUUCCAGGUGUAGCGGUGAAAUGCGUAGAUAUCAGGAGGAACACCGGUGGCGAAGGCGGAUCUCUGGGCCUGUCCUGACGCUGAGGCGCGAAAGCUAGGGGGAGCGAACAGG